rnacentral:rRNA from 1 species
GACGAACGCUGGCGGCGUGCUUAACACAUGCAAGUCGAACGGAAAGGCCCUGCUUUUGUGGGGUGCUCGAGUGGCGAACGGGUGAGUAACACGUGAGUAACCUGCCCUUGACUUUGGGAUAACUUCAGGAAACUGGGGCUAAUACCGGAUAGGAUCUCCUGCUGCAUGGUGGGGGUUGGAAAGUUUCGGCGGUUGGGGUUGGACUCGCGGCUUAUCAGCUUGUUGGUGGGGUAGUGGCUUACCAAGGCUUUGACGGGUAGCCGGCCUGAGAGGGUGACCGGCCACAAUGGGACUGAGAUACGGACCAGACUCCUACGGGAGGCAGCAGUGGGGAAUAUUGCACAAUGGGCGGAAGCCUGAUGCAGCAACGCCGCGUGCGGGAUGACGGCCUUCGGGGUGUAAACCGCUUUCGCCUGUGACGAAGCGUGAGUGACGGUAAUGAGUAAAGAAGCACCGGCUAACUACGUG